rnacentral:rRNA from 1 species
GACGAACGCUGGCGGCGUGCUUAACACAUGCAAGUCGAGCGGGAACCUCUGAAGGGGUAACCCUUCAGAGGGGAGAGCGGCGAACGGGUGAGUAACACGUGGGCAACCUGCCCCAGACACUGGGAUAACUCCGGGAAACCGGGGCUAAUACCGGAUACUCCGGUCUGAUCGCAUGUUCGGAUCGGGAAAGCUCCGACGGUCUGGGAUGGGCCCGCGGCCUAAUCAGCUUGUUGGUGAGGUAACGGCCCACCAAGGCGACGACGGGUAGCUGGUCUGAGAGGACGGCCAGCCACAC